UGCCAGCAGCCGCGGUAAUACGAGGGGUGCAAGCGUUAUUCGGAAUUACUGGGCGUAAAGGGUGCGUAGACGGCUUGUUAAGUCUGUUGUUAAAUUCUCCGGCCUAACCGGAGGUCAGCAACAGAAACUGACGAACUAGAGGAUGGAAGAGAGAAGUGGAAUUCUCGGAGUAGCGGUAAAAUGCGUAGAUCUCGAGAGGAACACCGAUGGCGAAAGCAGCUUCUUGGUCCAUUCCUGACGUUGAGGCACGAAAGCGUGGGGAGCAAACAGGAUUAGAUA
rnacentral:rRNA from 1 species